GACGAACGCUGGCGGUAUGCUUAACACGUGCAAGUCGAACGAUGUAGCAAUACAUAGUGGCGGACGGGUGAGUAAUGCAUAAAUAACCUGCCCUAUGCAGGGGGAUAACUACCAGAAAUGGUAGCUAAUACCGCAUAAGACCACAGAUUGGCAUCAAUUAGUGGUAAAAGAUUUAUCGGCAUAGGAUGGAUUUAUGUCCCAUUAGAUAGUUGGUGAGGUAACGGCUCACCAAGUCUGCGAUGGGUAGCCGACCUGAGAGGGUGAUCGGCCACACUGGAACUGAGAAACGGUCCAGACUCCUACGGGAGGCAGCAGUGGGGAAUAUUGGGCAAUGGAGGCAACUCUGACCCAGCAAUACCGCGUGAGUGAAGAAGGUCUUCGGAUUGUAAAGCUCUAGCAGGAGGGACGAAAACAAUGACGGUACCUCCAUAAGAAGCCACGGCAAACUACGUGCCAGCAGCCGCAGUAA
rnacentral:rRNA from 1 species